UGAUGCUCAACAAAGUCAGGGCUGAUCUGCUCAGAACCGGGCUCUGUCCCUCGAGGGAGAAGUGGGCGGAAAAGGCCGACCGGAGAUGGACGGGCAGCCGGGACCUUGUCGCCAGGAAGUGACGUCAUCAGAUCCGGGAAGCCUGCAGGGACCUCUGACCUCAGACCCCCUGGGGGAGCUUCUCAAGCGCCUCCCACGCCUUCAGGCCCAAGGCGGGUCAGGGCGGAUGUCUGCAAAGUCACACUGUGCAGACAGUGGCCCUGCCGUAGGAAGAGCUGAGAGUCCUGAGGGCGGAGAAGCAGCAUCUCCCGGAGCCCUCGGCCUGCAGAUGGGCGUGUGCCGUCAGGCUCCUUUCCCGGCAGAGAAGGCGUCGAGGUGAAAAUCUUGAAGACUCCUCCAGCCUCGGACCCUGUAUCGUGCUGGAGGUCUUAACCAGCUUGAGAAGCAUUUGAUUUUCUGAAUGAUGAAUCACCUCCAAUUACGGCUCCUGACUGCGCACGAGUCACUCGCAGCGUCACCUCCGCUGUCUGACCCUCGCCUCCAGCCAUCCAGCUGCCUGUUUGUCCAAGAUGCUGGUGAGUUCUGCACUUGCCAGAGCCCAGAAAGGAAGCCAGGCAGACAGGUGACUCAAGGCUGAGCGCCCCCCUGCCUCACCAUCUGCUCUCAGCUCCGUGCCUUCGGUGCAGGAGGAAGGGGUACGUGGAUCUGCUCCCCCAGGGGCCCGCAGCGGACUGCAAACCCUCCACUAGCAGGUCCGAUGGGACCUUGUGUGUCUCCUCAGCAGAGAUGAAUAAAGCCACCAUUUCCACCAUCACCUUUCCUAUAGAG